rnacentral:rRNA from 1 species
UAGUCCACGCCGUAAACGAUGAAUACUAGGUGUGGGGGACAUAAGUCCUCUGUGCCGAAGCUAACGCAUUAAGUAUUCCGCCUGGGGAGUACGGUCGCAAGACUAAAACUCAAAGGAAUUGACGGGGACCCGCACAAGCAGCGGAGCGUGUGGUUUAAUUCGAGGCUACACGAAGAACCUUACCUGGGCUUGACAUGCUAGUGGUAGCGACGGGAAACCCGAGCGACCCUUCGGGGAGCUAGCACAGGUGCUGCAUGGUUGUCGUCAGCUCGUGCCGUGAGGUGUUAGGUUAAGUCCUGCAACGAGCGCAACCCUCGCUGCUAGUUAAAUUUCUCUAGCGGGACUGCCGGGGUAACUCGGAGGAAGGUGGGGACGACGUCAAAUCAGCAUGGCCCUUAUUGUCCAGGGCUACACACACGCUACAAUGGUCGGUACAAUGGGUUGCCAAACCGCGAGGUGGAGCCAAUCCCCCAAAGCCGGCCCCAGUUCAGAUUGGAGGCUGCAACUCGCCUCCAUGAAGCC